GAUGAACGCUGGCGGCGUGCCUAAUACAUGCAAGUCGAGCGAACCACUUCGGUGGUGAGCGGCGAACGGGUGAGUAACACGUAGGUGAUCUGCCCAUCAGACGGGGACAACGAUUGGAAACGAUCGUUAAUACCGGAUAGGACGAAAGUUUAAAGGUGCUUCUGGCACCGCUGAUGGAUGAGCCUGCGGCGCAUUAGCUAGUUGGUAGGGUAAAGGCCUACCAAGGCGACGAUGCGUAGCCGACCUGAGAGGGUGAACGGCCACACUGGGACUGAGACACGGCCCAGACUCCUACGGGAGGCAGUAGUAGGGAAUCUUCGGCAAUGGGCGAAAGCCUGACCGAGCAACGCCGCGUGAAUGAUGAAGGCCUUCGGGUUGUAAAAUUCUGUUAUAAGGGAAGAACGACUUUAGUAGGAACUGGCUAGAGUGUGACGGUACCUUAUGAGAAAGCCACGGCUAACUACGUGCCAGCCGCCGCAGUAA
rnacentral:rRNA from 1 species